rfam:Oryza sativa Japonica Group DNA, chromosome 1, cultivar: Nipponbare, complete sequence.
AAUAGACGACGCCGUUAACUUCUUACAUGUUUGACCAUUCGUCUUAUUCAAAAAAUUUACAUAAUUAUAAUUUGUUUUGUUAUGAGUUGUUUUAUUACUCAUAGUACUUUAAGUGUGAUUUAUAUCUUAUACAUUUGCAUAAUUUUUUUAAUAAGACGAAUGGUUAAACAUGUGAGAAAAAGUCGACGGCGUCAUCUAUU